GAACUCUUCAUGUUCCCUCAAAGGCUUCCAGUAUUCCCGUAUUCAUUCAUAUAUACCUAGCUAGAAUUGAUUGAAUGCUGGAUGUCUUUGAAGGAACUUGGAAGCUU
rnacentral:pre_miRNA from 1 species